rnacentral:ribozyme from 16 species
UACACAAGUCAAAUGCAUUUGAGAAAAAAAAAAGAAAAGAAAUCGACGAAAAACCGGUCAAUCUGUGGACUUCUGUUUUGU